UCAAACUUGGUCAUUUAGAGGAAGUAAAAGUCGUAACAAGGUUUCCGUAGGUGAACCUGCGGAAGGAUCAUUACUGAGUUAGGGUCUUCCAUGGCCCGACCUCCAACCCUUUGUUAAUUAUACCUUUGUUGCUUCGGUGAGUUGGUUUUUACGACCACCGGGGGUUUAUCGACCCUUGGGUUUUCGAACAUUCACCGGUAGCCUACUUUAUAAACUCUUGCAAAUUUUGUAUCAGUCUAAAGUAAUCAGUAUGAGGAGAAAUCCUCAUUCUAAAUAAACACAAAACUUUCAACAACGGAUCUCUUGGUUCUGGCAUCGAUGAAGAACGCAGC
rnacentral:misc_RNA from 1 species